rnacentral:rRNA from 1 species
CAAAUAUCUGCCCUAUCCAACUUUCGAUGGUAGGAUAGUAGGCCUACCAUGGUUUCAACGGGUACCGGGAAUAAGGGUUCGAUUCCGGAGAGGGAGCCUGAGAAACGGCUACCACAUCCAAGGAAGGCAGCAGGCGCGCAAAUUACCCAAUCCCGAAUACGGGGAGGUAGUGACAAUAAAUAACAAUAUAGGGCCCUCUUC